rnacentral:rRNA from 1 species
AUUGAACGCUGGCGGCAGGCCUAACACAUGCAAGUCGAGCGGAUGAGAGGAGCUUGCUUCUCGAUUCAGCGGCGGACGGGUGAGUAAUGCCUAGGAAUCUGCCUAGUAGUGGGGGACAACGUUUCGAAAGGAACGCUAAUACCGCAUACGUCCUACGGGAGAAAGCAGGGGACCUUCGGGCCUUGCGCUAUCAGAUGAGCCUAGGUCGGAUUAGCUAGUUGGUGGGGUAAUGGCUCACCAAGGCGACGAUCCGUAACUGGUCUGAGAGGAUGAUCAGUCACACUGGAACUGAGACACGGUCCAGACUCCUACGGGAGGCAGCAGUGGGGAAUAUUGGACAAUGGGCGAAAGCCUGAUCCAGCCAUGCCGCGUGUGUGAAGAAGGUCUUCGGAUUGUAAAGCACUUUAAGUUGGGAGGAAGGGUUGUAGAUUAAUACUCUGCAAUUUUGACGUUACCGACAGAAUAAGCACCGGCUAACUCUGUGCCAGCCGCCGCAGUAACAC